GCCUUGUACACACCGCCCGUCACACCACGAGAGUUUGUAACACCCGAAGUCGGUGAGGUAACCUUUUGGAGCCAGCCGCCUAAGGUGGGAUAGAUGAUUGGGGUGAAGUCGUAACAAGGUAGCCGUAUCGGAAGGUGCGGCUGGAUCACCUCCUUU
rnacentral:rRNA from 1 species